CCGCCGUUUUUUUUUUUUAUGGUUUUUUUUUCGUAGGACGAACGCUGGCGGCGUGCCUAAUACAUGCAAGUCGAGCGGACAGAUGGGAGCUUGCUCCCUGAUGUUAGCGGCGGACGGGUGAGUAACACGUGGGUAACCUGCCUGUAAGACUGGGAUAACUCCGGGAAACCGGGGCUAAUACCGGAUGGUUGUUUGAACCGCAUGGUUCAAACAUAAAAGGUGGCUUCGGCUACCACUUACAGAUGGACCCGCGGCGCAUUAGCUAGUUGGUGAGGUAACGGCUCACCAAGGCAACGAUGCGUAGCCGACCUGAGAGGGUGAUCGGCCACACUGGGACUGAGACACGGCCCAGACUCCUACGGGAGGCAGCAGUAGGGAAUCUUCCGCAAUGGACGAAAGUCUGACGGAGCAACGCCGCGUGAGUGAUGAAGGUUUUCGGAUCGUAAAGCUCUGUUGUUAGGGAAGAACAAGUACCGUUCGAAUAGGGCGGUACCUUGACGGUACCUAACCAGAAAGCCACGGCUAACUACGUGCCAGCAGCCGCGGUAAUACGUAGGUGGCAAGCGUUGUCCGGAAUUAUUGGGCGUAAAGGGCUCGCAGGCGGUUUCUUAAGUCUGAUGUGAAAGCCCCCGGCUCAACCGGGGAGGGUCAUUGGAAACUGGGGAACUUGAGUGCAGAAGAGGAGAGUGGAAUUCCACGUGUAGCGGUGAAAUGCGUAGAGAUGUGGAGGAACACCAGUGGCGAAGGCGACUCUCUGGUCUGUAACUGACGCUGAGGAGCGAAAGCGUGGGGAGCGAACAGGAUUAGAUACCCUGGUAGUCCACGCCGUAAACGAUGAGUGCUAAGUGUUAGGGGGUUUCCGCCCCUUAGUGCUGCAGCUAACGCAUAAGCACUCCGCAUGGAAGACUGCGGUUU
rnacentral:rRNA from 1 species